rnacentral:rRNA from 1 species
AAAAAAAGCGAGGCUUAAACGACGAAGUGGAGGCAAAGCAAAAGCGAGUAUGAAGAGUGCGUGUGUUUUUUUUAUUUGACCCGAAACUAAGUGAUCUAGCUUUGAACAGGCUGAAGAAAGGGUAAAAGCUUUUGGAGGGCCGAACUGACGUCUGUUGCAAUAGACGCAGAUGAGUUGAGGCUAGGGGUGAAAGGCCAAUCAAACUUAGAGAUAGCUGGUUCUCCGCGAAAUUUAUUGAGGUAAAGCGUUCAACGAUGUAGAAAGGGGGUAGAGCACUCAUUAGGUAAAGGGGAUCCAAAGUCUUACUGAACUUAUUGAAACUCCGAAGACCUUUCUUUGAUAUCUUGAGCAGACAGACUUAAAGUGCUAAGGUUUUAAGUCAAAAGGGAAACAGCCCAGACUGUUCGCUAAGGUCCUUAAACAUUUUGGAAGUGGUAAAAGGCGUUUUAAAACAAAGACAGCUAGGAGAUUGGCUUGGAAGCAGCCAUUCUAUAAUGAAAGCGUAAUAGCUCACUAGUCGAGUUUUAAAGCACUGAUAAUGUAUCGGGGCUUCACAAAAUUACCCAAGCGACAGAGAACAAUGGUAGCGGAGCGUUUUGUAGACCGUAGAAGAAGUUUUGUGAAAAACUUUGGAGGAUUCAAAAGUGAGAAUGCUGACAUGAGUAACGAAAAAUCAUGUGACAAUCAUGAUCGCCGUAAGUUCAAGGGUUUCUGCGUUCUGUUUUUCAGCGCAGAGUGAUCCGGUCUCUAAGUGUGUUUUUGAUAAAAAACCACGAUGAAAAAAAUGAAAGAUGACGAAAUGUUUUUUAGAAACCAACAGUUUAUUGGAUAGCUUUUUCGUUUCUAAUGUUUCCAGGAAAAAUCUUCAUAAAAUUGACCGUACCCUAAACCGACACCGGUGAACGAGUCGAGUAGACUCAGGCGUUGAGAGAACCAUAUUGAAGGAACUCGGCAAAUUUUUCCUGUACCUUUGGAAGAAAGGAAGCCAAUUUUGGUGACACAAAAAUGGGGGUGACGACUUUUUACUAAAAAAUUAGGACUCUGCAAAAUGGGAACAUGAAGUAUAGGGUCUGACGCCUGCCCGGUGCUUGAAGCUUAACCUGUAUGCUUUUUUGGUAUAUUGAGAAGGCCUAGUAAACGGCGGUUGUAACUAUAACAAUCAUAAAGUAGCGAAAUUCAUUGUCAGCUAAUUCCUGACCUGCAUGAAAGGCGUAACGAUUGCCCCACUGUCUCCAGUAUGGACUCAGUGAAAUUGAAUUCUCCGUGCAGAUGCGGAGAACGUGCCCCAAGACGAGAAGACCCUAUGCAUCUUUACUGUACAUUUACACUGGAAAAAAGCUUAAAUUGUGUAGGAUAGGUGGGAGUUGACAACAACCUUGAAAUACCACCCUUUUUAAGAAGAGUUCCUUAUUUGAACAAGGUUCAAAAACACUGUAUAUGAGGCAGUUUGACUGGGGCGGUCGCCUCCCAAAGAGUAACGGAGGUGUGCGAAGGUAAACUCAAUGAAAGACGGAAACUUUCUGUAGAGCGUAAUGGUAAAAGUUUGCCUGACUGCGAGAGUGACACCUCGAGCAGAGACGAAAGUCGGCCAUAGUGAUCCAAAAGUGCUGCGUGGAAAGACUUUUGCUUAACGAAUCAAAGAUACGCUAGGGAUAACAGGCUAAUAAUUCCCAAGAGCCCUUAUCGACGGAAUUGUUUGGCACCUCGAUGUUGACUGAUCAUAUCCUGGGGCUGAAAAAGGUCCCAAGGGUUCGGCUGUUCGCCGAUAAAAAUGGUACCUGAGUUGAGUUUAGAACGUCGUGAGACAGUUUGGAUUCUACCUGGGGUGCGCGCGAAGAAUUGAGAAAACCAUUUCCUUGUACGAGAGGACCGGAAAUGUUCAACCUCUGGUGCACUGGUUGUUCUGCCAAGAGCAUUGCCGGGUAGCUACGUUGAGAGAGGAGAACCGUUGAAAGCAUCUUAAAUGGGAAACUUUUUUCAAGACAAAUUCUU